rnacentral:tRNA from 1 species
GUCCCCAUCGUCUAGAGGCCCAGGACACCGCCCUUUCACGGCGGUAACCAGAGUUCGAAUCUCUGUGGGGACGCCA